rnacentral:lncRNA from 1 species
CUCAUCCAUCAAAUAUGCCUCCCUAGCAUCUCAAUUCAUCAUUUUGAUCAAAGCAAGUCAAAGGGUUUGAGGUCUUGUUCUUCAAGGAAACCCUAAUCCAUCUGUGCACCACAAUGCCUUGCUCAUGAAGCAACCUCAUCCCAUGGUCAAAUACAAUCCAGGGAAGUUCUUUAACUCUUCAUUUCAUACAUGUUUGAACUUAUUUGAGUAUCCUUAAUCAUCAAUUCAUCAAGAUAUGAGGCAUGGACUUGAGAAGUUGAUCAGUCAAUUCAUCU